rnacentral:lncRNA from 1 species
GGGAGAUGCAUGAUCUGUAGACGGCUGGAUGUGAAGUGAUCUAGAAGAAGCAGAGACGUGGACGUUGAUCGUAGAGGACGGACGCCUGGAUUUGAGGUUGAGCUGGGAGCUGAUGCCUUGAUUCGUGAUGAAGAGGAGAUGGUUGAGAAGAUCCCGGCUCUGUUCCGAAGCAAUGGAAGACCGUGGACAUUGGGAGAAUCUCAUGCGAAUGGGUGGAUGUGGGAGGAUCUCAGAGGUUAAGUUGUCUGAUUCGAUUGGAAGAAAAUCACAACGAGAUGAAGCUAAUCCAGACGCUGAGUUUGAGCUUAUCCGGAUUCUGUUUUGAGAUGAUGGAGUUGGCUCACGGAAAGAAGGAAAUGGCUGGGGGAUGAAGCUUGUGAUGGCUCUAUUCCGCUGAAACAGGGGAUACGUGGGUGGCUGAAGGUCAUCGCGAACGGGAGGAAGGGCUCACGGGAUAUUGAAAUCUGUUCGUGAAUGGAAUCCGGAGAAGGUUAGCUUGAUUCAGCUGGGAAGGAGUGAAGAGCCGUGAACUGGGAUUUGAUCUUAUCCGGAAGAUGAAGAUAAGAUGAGCUGGAAGACGUUGGGAUCUCGGCUGAGAGAUGGUUUGGUUCGGAAGAGGGAAGACACGCAGAUGGGAGGAGAUCUAAUCCAUUAGCUGCUGUGUUCUGUUUCCGUGAAGUUUGGGAAGAAGAAUCGAAAGCAUGGGAGAUGAAGAUGAAGAAGAUACGUGAGCUGCUGGAAAGAUUUGCAUCGCGGGAGAAGCUGGGAGAUGCCCGGAAGAAGAGAAGAUGGAGAAAAUACGUGGGGUGCUGGGACGCGGAGAGGAUGAAGCUGCUGGGAGAAAAUUCGAGGAAGAAUGAUACGGUUGGGAGGUGAUCUAGCCUUUGUUCGUGGAUAUGGAAGGAAUCG